rnacentral:lncRNA from 1 species
UUGCUGGCUCAAUGCUUUGGCUUUGAACGGUUUGCAUAUGAUCCUGAUCAUUUUUCAUUGUUGACUUUGUGUCUUCGAUGUUUGUCCGUUGUUCCUGUUUGGUUUACCCAUAAAUUGGUACACUGGUGGCUUGUUAGACUUUGAACCAUCCCGCACCAUUGCUUGGUGUUGCGGUGGCUUCUGAAUUUAUACGUAUGCUCCGCUUAGAUCUCCUAUGUGGUGUCUUUUGCGGUGCGCAUGUAUUCAUCGAUUUCUCGGACGCGGUGCUUGAGAUGACCUUUGGUUUUUCCAUUUAUGUCCCUAAUUAAUUAAUGGUUGCCUUAAAUUAUGCCUGCUCUAUUGGUUGUUUUGCGCCCCUUUCGUGGGCUC